rnacentral:rRNA from 1 species
UACAGGGGGUGCAAACGUUGCUCGGAAUCAUUGGGCGUAAAGCGCACGUAGGCGGUUCGUUAUGUCGGAUGUGAAAGCCCUUGGCUUAACCGAGGAAGUGCAUCCGAAACUGGCGAGCUAGAGUACGAAAGAGGAUCGCGGAAUUCCCGGUGUAGAGGUGAAAUUCGUAGAUAUCGGGAGGAACACCGGUGGCGAAGGCGGGUCUCUGGGCCGUUACUGACGCUGAGGAGCGAAAGCGUGGGGAGCGAACAGG